rnacentral:lncRNA from 12 species
GGCCUUUUCUUGAAUAAUGAAGGGAAGAGCCCUCUGCUUUGACGUUUGUCUCCAAAACCUAGAAUUACUAAGAGUUUAACCAUCGCAGGGGAGCUUAAGAUAGCUGCAUCUUAAAGGAUCUGCUUUCUUGUCGAAUUCAAGGCUGGGGGAAGGAGUUUAGCCCAUACACUCCGUGCUGACCUUUUCAAUGCUCUUAAUAAAUGUUACAGUUAAAUAAAGUCGGAUGGAUUUUUCUAUCUACUGUAGGGUGUUAUCCACUUUCUGGGGAAAAAAAAAAAAAAAAGGUAAAAACCCCAAAUCCCUGUUUAAUAUCACCGCUACUCAUUAUCUUUGGUAGCUGCACAGCAAAAGGCAAGGAGGAAGGGCAGGGGCAGGACAAUUGAGGCUGUAUUAUCAGGGUAAUUACUACCAUUGCACACGAUUAUGUGUAUCUCUGUAAAAAGGUGCAUUGGGGCUGUUUAAAUCCCUUGUGAUCUUACUGCCAAAACUCAAACCAGGAUCACCAACUCUGAAAAUAUUUGGGGAAAGUUUUGUUUGUUUGUUUUUUAAUUUGCUUUCUUAUUUUCCACUCUUUAAAAGAUCAAAAGACCCUCUCUAUCUGGUCUGGUCUCUAUGGCUUGGUUCCCUACAGGAGUGGAGGCACCAGAGCUGCAGGGGAGAGGCUGCCUGGGAAGUCAAAAGAGGGCAGAAAGCAUCAACUGUUCCAGGAAAUAACCUGUCCUUGCACAUUUCCUCAUGUUCAGGCUUCGCUGUUGUGAAUGCAAGCACUGUGAUGAGAGAAGAAGGCAAGGUGUGGGGCAGAAACUUAGCCCUGCUCCUAAAAAAGGGGACAUCUCCUCAUCUCCAUGUUGUUGCACAGGGAGCUGAAAUCUGGCCAGUGCAAGCCACUGGUUGUACCUGUGGAAUUACCUGACUCUUCAUCCCAAGGGCUCAAAAAUCAGAGGAAAAGAAAACCAUCCUCCAUUUUGCUGAGCGCCAGCAGUGUGAACAAAAAUAUAAGGUGCUUCAGGGCAGGAAGAAACCGUGAAGAAAUAGGUUUUCAAAUUCCAUUUGCAUUGGAUUGUCUGAAAACUGUCUCAAGAGCUGCCUUCUGGAGACAGCUGCCCUGCUCUGAGGGAGGGCAGAGACGUGUGGGGAGAAGCUGAGUGGGGGAAACGACUCGGGCUGAAGUUGCCUCUGAUUGUGCUCAGGUCUCAGCAAUGCCAGGCUCUCAAGGAGGACAAGGAGAGGUCAGGUGUGCAGUGGAAAGGCUCCAUGAAGCUCUUCCUCGCCAUAGGAGCAUCAUCUUCUGCAAUGGACAUCCUGGCUGGCCAGAACCAGUCCUGGCAGGCAGAGAGGUGGAAGAGGACAGGCUCCCUUCCUGCUGGUCACCUGGAGGUCAUGGCAGUGGUGUAGUGCCCCUGUGCUCAAGGAAGACCUGCAGAAGGGCCUGAGUGUGUGCUGGAGGUGUUGAUGAGGUGGUGGCACCCAGCCACGCCUCUGCUGCUUGCAGGACUCCCAAGCCACCAGCAGCCAGAGGGAUCCGUGCAUGGAAGCUCAGGAAAGCAGGAUACUGCCCCUAACACGUCACAUCCCAAGGGAUGGUGUCCCUGGGGAUGGGGAUGAUGGUGUGGAUCUCUGCUCAUGCAAGCACAGCAGGUACUUACUGCAGGCUGUGAACCAGCCCCAGUGACUGACUCUGUCUCUCCCUGGCUGUGCACGGUCUGCACAGGGGAACUGUUAUUUAUUAAUGGUUGGCAAGAGCUGCUGGAACAGAGGUAGAGCUCCCACUGCUAUCCCUGCCUGUCCUCCAUCACUUGUGCUCAUAUCUUUCUCAGGCUCACUCCUUUUGUGUUGAAAUUUUCCAUGCUUCUUCUUAGCCCAGUGACACAUUUUUGCUGAAGGUAUGGACUGUGCUCGUUGGAGUCCUCUUUUAGAGCUCCUUGCUAAUCUCUGCCUUGUGGUAAUGGUCCAUCUUUCA